rnacentral:rRNA from 1 species
UUUUAUGGAGAGUUUGAUCCUGGCUCAGGAUGAACGCUGGCGGCGUGCCUAAUACAUGCAAGUCGAGCGAACGGAUGAGAAGCUUGCUUCUCUGAUGUUAGCGGCGGACGGGUGAGUAACACGUGGAUAACCUACCUAUAAGACUGGGAUAACUUCGGGAAACCGGAGCUAAUACCGGAUAAUAUUUUGAACCGCAUGGUUCAAAAGUGAAAGACGGUCUUGCUGUCACUUAUAGAUGGAUCCGCGCUGCAUUAGCUAGUUGGUAAGGUAACGGCUUACC